AACAGAACAGUCAAAUGACACAAACAUGAUGUACACAUUCAGAUAGUUGUGUACAGUGACAUGGGUCUAAAUGGAAAGUUUAAAAACAUACAGUAUUAUUUCCAAUGCUGCCAAUAAUAUGUAAAUAAUUAAGAAAUAAUGUAAAUAAUGAUGAACACAUGUCAUGACUAAGGGCCUGUUUUUCAUGGUCAGGUUAUGUGGUAUAAUACUAUGAGGUUGAGGUUUUUCAUGGUCAGGUUAUGUGGUAUAAUACUAUGAGGUUGAGGUUUUUCAUGGUCAGGUUAUGUGGUAUAAUACUAUGAGGUUGAGGUUUUUCAUGGUCAGGUUAUGUGGUAUAAUACUAUGAGGUUGAGGUUUUUCAUGGUCAGGUUAUGUGGUAUAAUACUAUGAGGUUGAGGUUUUUCAUGGUCAGGUUAUGUGGUAUAAUACUAUGAGGUUGAGGUUUUUCAUGGUCAGGUUAUGUGGUAUAAUACUAUGAGGUUGAGGUUUUUCAUGGUCAGGUUAUGUGGUAUAAUACUAUGAGGUUGAGGUUUUUCAUGGUCAGGUUAUGUGGUAUAAUACUAUGAGGUUGAGGUUUUUCAUGGUCAGGUUAUGUGGUAUAAUACUAUGAGGUUGAGGUUUUUCAUGGUCAGGUUAUGUGGUAUAAUACUAUGAGGUUGAGGUUUUUCAUGGUCAGGUUAUGUGGUAUAAUACUAUGAGGUUGAGGUUUUUCAUGGUCAGGUUAUGUGGUAUAAUACUAUGAGGUUGAGGUUUUUCAUGGUCAGGUUAUGUGGUAUAAUACUAUGAGGUUGAGGUUUUUCAUGGUCAGGUUAUGUGGUAUAAUACUAUGAGGUUGAGGUUUUUCAUGGUCAGGUUAUGUGGUAUAAUACUAUGAGGUUGAGGUUUUUCAUGGUCAGGUUAUGUGGUAUAAUACUAUGAGGUUGAGGUUUUUCAUGGUCAGGUUAUGUGGUAUAAUACUAUGAGGUUGAGGUUUUUCAUGGUCAGGUUAUGUGGUAUAAUACUAUGAGGUUGAGGUUUUUCAUGGUCAGGUUAUGUGGUAUAAUACUAUGAGGUUGAGGUUGUUAUGGUCAGGAAAAAGUGGUGACAUAGUGACUGUGUAGAGGCAGACAUGGUAAUC